rnacentral:rRNA from 1 species
CCUACGGGAGGCAGCAGUGAGGAAUAUUGGUCAAUGGGCGAGAGCCUGAACCAGCCAAGUCGCGUGAGGGAGUACUGCCCUAUGGGUUGUAAACCUCUUUUGUCGGGGAGCAAAAGCCGGACGUGUCCGGCUGUGAGAGUACCCGAAGAAAAAGCAUCGGCUAACUCCGUGCCAGCAGCCGCGGUAAUAAGGAGGAUGCGAGCGUUAUCCGGAUUUAUUGGGUUUAAAGGGUGCGCAGGCGGAUUUUUAAGUCAGCGGUAAAAUCGUGGGGCUCAACCCCAUCCAGCCGUUGAAACUGGGGAUCUAGAGUGUGCGAGAGGUAUGCGGAAUGCGUGGUGUAGCGGUGAAAUGCAUAGAUAUCACGCAGAACCCCGAUUGCGAAGGCAGCAUACCGGUGCACAACUGACGCUCAGGCACGAAAGCGUGGGUAUCGAACAGGAUUAGAUACCCCAGUAGUC